UGAAUAAUCCAAAACAACCGUCUUCCCCUCGGCACUAAUGAAGCCCUUGGCUGGCCUAAGGGCCAGGUGUUGUCACCCGCUCACCUCAGACCCUUCUGCCCCACCUACAUGAUUUGGACCUGAAUAUAUCCUACCUGGCCUAACCCAUACCACUCUUAAUUCAAUUAACCCUCCCCUACACAUUUCCGAUUUACCUAUCCCCACCCCUAGUUACCCACCUUACUCCAGACCAAUUCGUCUAAAACCCAUCCUUACCCUCUACUUCCCUGACACCUUGAAUAUUCCCGAGUACCCCAACACACCCCUCUCCUCUCACACACUUGGUCUCGCCCGUCUGACGUCACCCCCACACCGCACAAAUGUUCUUCCGGACUUCACGUCGGGUUCUCCCGCAGCCCCCGGCACCCGGAAGCCAGCGCAACCGUAACGUGGCGUCAUGAACGUGUUGGAAUGUUCUGUGUGUGUUAAAUAAAAGGGUACUUGUAAA